ACAGUACUCCCUCCGUCCUAAAAUUAUUGUCUUAGAUUUGUCUAGAUAUGGAUGUAUCAAGUCACAUUUUAGUAUUAGAUACAUCCAUAUCUUGACAAAUCUAAGACAAGAAAUUUGGGACAGAGGGAGUAGUUG
rnacentral:pre_miRNA from 1 species